UGUUGGGUUAAGUCCCGCAACGAGCGCAACCCUUAUUUUUAGUUGCCUUAUGGAACUCUAAAAAGACUGCCGGUCAUAAACCGGAGGAAGGCGGGGAUGACGUCAAGUCAGCAUGCCCCUUACACCCUGGGCUACACACGUGCUACAAUGGGCGAGACAAUGAGAUGCAAGCCUGCGAAGGUUAGCUAAUCUAUAAACUCGUUCUAAGUUCGGAUUGUAGGCUGCAACUCGCCUGCAUGAAGUUGGAAUCGCUAGUAAUCGCUGGUCAGCUAUACAGCGGUGAAUUCGUUCCCGGGCCUU
rnacentral:rRNA from 1 species